rnacentral:rRNA from 1 species
CAUUAUUGUGCAACCGAGGUGCCUUGGGCUGUUGCUGACCCCAUUCUAGAGGUCGUGCACGCCUGAGCACUCUCACCCUUAUCCACUUUACCCUUGUGCAUCACCGCGUAGAGCCCCCUUUGGGUCAUUCCAAAGGGGCUCACGUUUUUCACACAUAUACCCCCUUCAAAGAAGCUUAGAAUGUAACUUUUGUGAUCACACACAAUCAAUACAACUUUCAACAACGGAUCUCUUGGCUCUCGCAUCGAUGAAGAACGCAGCGAAAUGCGAUACGUAAUGUGAAUUGCAGAAUUCAGUGAAUCAUCGAAUCUUUGAACGCACCUUGCGCCCCUUGGCAUUCCGAGGGGCACACCCGUUUGAGUGUCGUGACAUCCUCAAACCUUCUUGGUUUCUUGAUCAGGAAGGAUUUGGACUUUGGAGGUGUUUUGCUGGCUUUCUCUGAAGCCAGCUCCUCUUAAAUGGAUUAGUGGGGUCCCAUUUGCAAGUCCCCUGACGUGAUAAGAUGUUUUCUACGUCUUGGGACUGGCUCUGUAACCUGCUUCAAACUGUCUUGUCAGAGACAUUGCUCAGGUUUGCCACCUUUCGUGGGUGGGAAGCUCGACGCACAAACCUUGACCUC